AGUGAACGCUGGCGGUAGGCCUAACACAUGCAAGUCGAACGGCAGCACAGUAAGAGCUUGCUCUUACGGGUGGCGAGUGGCGGACGGGUGAGGAAUACAUCGGAAUCUACUUUUUCGUGGGGGAUAACGUAGGGAAACUUACGCUCAUACCGCAUACGACCUACGGGUGAAAGCAGGGGAUCUUCGGGCCUUGCGCGAUUGAAUGAGCCGAUGUCGGAUUAGCUAGUUGGCGGGGUAAAGGCCCACCCAGGCGACGAUCCGUAGCUGGUCUGAGAGGAUGAUCAGCCACACUGGAACUGAGACACGGUCCAGACUCCUACGGGAGGCAGCAGUGGGGAAGAUUGGACAAUGGGCGCAAGCCUGAUCCAGCCAUACCGCGUGGGUGAAGAAGGCCUUCGGGUUGUAAAGCCCUUUUGUUGGGAAAGAAAAGCAGCAGGUUAAUACCCCGCUGUUCUGACGGUGCCCAAAGAAUAAGCACCGGCUAACUUCGUG
rnacentral:rRNA from 1 species